rnacentral:lncRNA from 1 species
UGAUAUUGAAAAUCUAACCUUCGGUAUCUUCUCCUCAGUCUCUUUCUUCACGGGCAACUUCCCAUCUUCUCUACUUCCUUUUCUUUCACUCAAUCCCAAAAGAAUGCUUCUUCUCUCCCACUCUCAACUACGAACCCACGACCUCCCCUAUCCUUCUUUUAGCGUCUUCUCAACAAUUUAUCGUGGGGGCGAUAGGCUGAAAUCAGGAGACAUGACCUUCCCCCUCCUUCUUCUUGCAUUUUGUUUAGAGGUUCAGAGAAGAAGCCGUAUGUCAAAAACUAUGACUCUCCCCUUUCUUCUGUGUUUCUAACUUUCUUUCGAGAAAAACUCAUCUCUUUUUUUUGCAAAUUUUGCCAAUUGGUGCACCCAAAUCCGAUCACGAAUCUUCAUUAGCAACGCAUGUACAGUGAAAAGCUUCAAGUUGAUGUUUCUUCCAUAAUUUUGCUUUCUUUCUUCUUGCGGUGAUGAUGGUUUACAGCUCUUUUUCUUCUCUGUAUCUGACGUGACUUAGGCUCACCACUCUUGAUUCUAUGGAAGCUGAAAGGUUCCCUCCUUUAGUUGUAAUUUACCAACCGUUCAUUCCCUUCUCCUACUAUAGAUGAAAUUCACUUCUUCUUUCCGAUAUGAACAAGGUUUAUUCUUCAAUUGGUAUUGUCUGCAGCUACUUCUUCGGACAUAUAUAAUCGUACGGUGUUUUUGGCAAUCUAACACGUUCAUUUUCCUUCAGUCGAGCUAGAGCGUGGAUGCUAGAACGAUGUCGCUGUUCUCUACGCUGUUCUCCAUAGCAAGGAUAUCGAAUUGAUGUGAAAAUCACAGUUUCGAUUUUAUAGCAAGAUGUGUGGAUCUGUUUAGAUGUAUCUCUAUAUUCAGAUUUUUAUGUAAUGAGCCGGUUGAGGUGUAGUACAUAUAGAAGUGAAUACGUAAACUCACCACUCUUGAUUCCAUGAAAGCUAAAGAAGCCUAGAUUGCCUCAUCCUCUCCCCCUCAUCUGAUUGCUUUAUGCUAUAUUAUUACCUACUCAGUUUCGAGAUUUUGAAUGAGCUUGUAAGAUAACAGUUUUCAAAAGAUCGAAGUAGAUGUUGCAAGUCUCUGUUUGCUUCACCUUUAAAUAUACUUUCCAGAUUGUUUGAUGUUAUUUCUUUUUUGAUAAUUGCAGAGGAGUUUAUCGUGAUGGCCUUAGAAAGCAAAGAUCUGAUUUAGAGAAUUGUCAGGAUGAAAGGAGGUGCGUGCAAUCAAAGAGCAGUUGUAAAAUUUGGUGAAGCUUUUAGUGUAUGCCCUACCUCUGCAAAUCACAAGAUAACAUGUGACGUGAGUUAUUAUGUUUGAGAUUUUUUAGCGAAAGAAUGUAAAAGGUGUAAGAAGCAAUCUGCAGUUCACGAGAUAGUGAUAAUGGGGUAUUUGCAGGGUGAAGCUGCAUAUGUGGAUUCAGUUCUCGGAACCAGUUGUUUGAACCCCAUCAGAUUUGCAAUCGGCGAAAGUAGUAAGGCAUUUAGUGGAAAAGAAAGAAGAAUUAAGCUGCUGCUAUGAUCGUCCGCGGUCUGUAAUUGAGCAGGGAAAUUCUUGAGGGAGCAUUUCGAGAAUUGUACACAAGUUGUCACAGUCUCACAUUUGUUAUGGUCAAAAUGCGAUGUUCAAAAAGUCUCUUAAGAAGUCAACUAUUGAACAAUUUCUAGCCCGUACUAAUACUUCCUCAUUUGGCGCCGUGAUGUAUGCACAUAUGAUGUUUUAAAUUAGUGGGGGCAAAUUGUUGAAAUUCGAAGGUUGUUGAAACCAUAAAUAUAAGCUAAUACUUUCCCUAGGUUAGUGUCUUGGAACAACACUUUCCGAAUAAAUAAUAUUACAAGUUAAUGACGGGAAUUAGGGAUGCGGAGGCAAUGGUUGCCGUCGGACAUAUUUUGUUGGCGACUCGAGGAGCAAUUAUCC